UAAGGAUCUUGUGUUAAGUUGCAAGAGAAGGGUUUGGAGUUGGGGCUUUCAGAAAUACAUGCCUCCACAAAGAAAUAAAGAACAAAGAACACACACAGGAGAACAGAUGGCUUAUCAUAACAUGGAAAGGGUGAUCUGGAUAGGCAUAUCUUUCUUUAUUGCUUUGGAGCAAUAAUCAUGCUGUGAGAAGGUGUAGUUGGUUUAGGUUGGUGUUUAUAAUAGAGAUUGUUAAUGGGAUCUUUCUCCAUGACAUGGGCACCAUCCUUCUUCCUUUGUGACACAUCUCAGAGUUUGGCUGUGUCAUCUAAGGCGAUUUAUGAUUGUCUAUGUUGGAUUGUAGGCACCAAGGGUAGAUACUAGUCUGUGAGAUGGUUUGUGCUGUUUAGCUGUGUUUAUGUUGGGAUAAAAGAUCAGGCAUAGAUGAUGGUUGUGUGACCUUUGUAUAAGGAUAAUUUCUUAUGUGUAUAAAAAAACUGAGAAAGUAACUCUGUUUUAAUCUAAGCCAAACGAUUGGGGUCUGCAUAUAGUAAUCUUCUAUUUGCUGUGUGGAAUGCUAUUCGUGGGGGGUCGUAAAGAGACCUUACAUUCCUUUCCUCCACUGAUAGUAGGAGGUUGUAAUUCAGAAUGAAACUAGACCCGAGCUUGGAAGGAGGAAUUAUAAUUUAUCAAGUGUGACAAGUAUAUGGCCUUUGUGAGCUUGGAGGUGGGAAUUGUGUGAUUAGAACUUUGUCUUUACCACUUUGUAAGAAUGGGGUAAAACUCAUCUUUAAUCUUUGUAAUUCAUAAGUAACUGUAUUUUAACUAAGUGGUUGUAAGGAAAUUAAUUGUGAAGUGUAUUGUGUUUAAUUACGAUUGUGAGUAUUAGACUUUGUUUAAAUCGGAAGUUUUAGAAAUAACUUUCUUGUCCAAAAGUGAAAAUAUGUUUUGUAUGUAUGUGUUGUGUGAUUGCUAUAUUAUGUGUAUAUUCUGAGAAGUAUUCUGUGAGAAUUAGUUUUAUAUCUGUGGUUUUACUUUAAUGAAAUAAAGUGAUUUUGAGCAAAGAGGUUGAAGAAACCACAGAGGGGAUGAAGGUUGUAAAGGGGCUGGAAAAGGGAAAAUCAUGUGACUAUACGUGUUGUCAAUCAAUGGAAAGGAUUUAGUUGAUUGGUUAAUGCAAAUAAGUUAAAUGUAUGGUACACCAUAAUGAUUGGUUAAUAGUUUGCCACUCCUUUUGUACUAUCCUUAUCUUUUACCUAUAUAAUGUGUUACAUUUAUGCCAAAGUUGUAGUUCUUUCAACCUGCCCCAGAGUUUCUAACUCUGUGUUGGAAGGUUUAAAGAAUUAUCCAGCGCUGUCAGAAUAAAGAAUCGAUUCCAGCAACAAGGGUUUGAAUCAAGUUUUCUUGAAUUAGACUGGCAAAAAGAACUCAUUUUAACAUUUGGUGUCAGAAGUGGGAUUCAGACGGUUCACCGACAACACGAGGAACGAAAAUAAGCGUUAAACUGCGCACUGAUUGGACCAGAGGAAUUGGCCAAGCAGAAGUGAGUAGUUAAACACCACUCUGUUUUCCUCUUCUCCGUAUAUUGCUGCGUAGUCGACCCUUCGUUCUUGUGUUGAACGGGAUCCAGACAGAAUCAGGUCAGUCUAACAAACCUUGUUGAUUGGUAAGAUUGGUCAUUAGGAAUGAUCAAAGGUGAACAGACUCGUCCAUUAGGAAUGGGGAGUCUUAGUCAUUGGGAAUGCUCCAUUAGGAAUGGAGAAACUUGGUCAUUAGGAAUGAUCAAAGGUGAUGGGAAUGCUCCAUUAGGAAUGGAGAAACUUGGUCAUUAGGAAUGAUCAAAGGUAAAUGCCGGCUGAACUGGAUAAAUUUAUCCUGACCAUUUGGAAUGGCAGGAGAUAGUGAUUUGGAAACAGGGUCAGCUAAACACUGACAGUGCUAAAUUUAUCCUGACCAUUUGGAAUGGCAGGAGAUAGUUAGAAAGAUUUGGAAACAGGGUCGGCUAAUCACUGACAGUGCUAAAUUAAUCUCGACCAUUUGGAAUGGUGCGAAGUAAUUAAAAACAAUUGAAUUCGGAUCCAGUGAAAAUAAGAAAUAGUAAAACGUUAACGUAAUUAUUAUAUUGUUAUAAGAAUAUUAAUACUGUGUAUAGAUUAAAUUGGUUGUGAAUAUAGUACUGAUCAGUGUGAUAAAUAUAUUAAUUGUGAUAAGUGAAUUAAGAUGGGUAAUCACUUAGAUAACACCAAGAGUUCUAGCAGCCCAUUGCAGAUUUUAUGUAACAAACAAUGGCCUCUGGGGGGGUCCUAGAAAUCCAGAUCUGGUAAAAACAAGCCCAAGAAUUAAUAUGGAAAAGAAAUGCAAAUUGAUUGAAUUAUGGCGAAAUUGGCGUGAGGAGGAAUUAGAUAUAAAUUUAAUGUUGAGGUAAUGAGACGAGAGUGUGCACACGAAAGGACUAGAGGACAGGAGAGAGAAGGAAAAAGGUUUUUUUUUUAAAAAGGGACUGCGCAGUUUAAAUGGUUGGCCUUCAAUUAGCAGAGGGAGACGAAAGGGAGGUAUGGGAAAAUCAGAAAAGUCUGAGCCCCAGUCAGUGGCGACAGGAAUUUAACCAAAUUUACCUAGGACAGGAUCAGAAAUCGAUAGUGCACCAAGCCCAGGCACCAAAAAAAAAAAAAUGGAGAAGCCCCAGUUUAGACUCUGUAGCAUGGCAUACAUGGUCACAGUCUAGAGACCAGGAGCAAGAAGGACGAGAGGAAAGGAGGUCACACAGUUGGGACUAUAAAAGGGAGCACUUGGCUGAGAAAACCACACCCCAGAAGCAACAAGGGAAGGUGCUGAAAUAGACGGAAUAAGAAAGCAUCUUCCAGGCGCCAAUAUUCUGUCAGAACGGUCCCUAACCCCAGAGCCCUUAUACCUCCUCCACCCAACCAACAAGAUUAUGGCGAAACAGGCAUGAAUAAUGUAUGGCUGCCGUGGAAGCCAAAUGAGAUGAUGACAAUUUUGUUGGGAGUGCCUAAGAAACGGAAUCCACAAGCUUUCAUUGAAUUUUUAAGAACAACGAUAUCUGUAUAUCACGCUGAUUCCCGAGAAUUAUGGGUACUAGUUCAGCAAGUUUUAACAGCGAUUGAGUAUACCAGAUUCUUGGUUCAUUUAACCUAGAACAACCAUGCAGACCUAGCGGUGGCGCACCCAGGGGCAGGUAACAAUGAGCAUCGAUUACAGCUUAUGCUGGCAGCCGUGGGCCUCACUCUCCAGCAGCCAAUCGAUAUAUCAAAGGUUUUGGAUAAUAAAACCAGGGGAAGGAGAAGCUGCAGAAGAUUUUCUGGAAAGGUUUAAAACCCAUCUACGGCAACCAGUCAGGUGACACUCAGUAUCAGCAAGGAAAUGACUGGCCACGGUUUAGUGCUAUGGUUAUGAACUGUUUGCCUUCCAGCGUUGCAAUGGCUAUUUAAACCAAUAAUAUGGACUGGUCAGAGUCUUCAUCGGCCCACAUGUCAAGAGCUGUGAAAGCCUUUUGGAAAAACUGUCCUAUUGGAGACAGUGAAGCCCAGGUAAAGGUAAAAACGAAAAUAUGUGAUGAGAGAAACGAGAGAAUUUCCACCAGUGGCUGUCCCUGACUGAAUGGGCUAACAUAUCUGGAUGUUACCCUGUUUACGGAUGGCAGCUCAUUCAUUGUUGAAAAGGGAGAAUGGUUGUCAGGCUAUGUGAUUGUUAAUCAGGAGGGAACGACCAUUGAAGCAGCAUCUUUUGAGGCUCCCUUCUAAGCCCAGCUAGCCGAACUAUUUGCGUUGACUAGAGCCUGCACCCUGGCCGAAGAACUAUCUGCAAAUAUUUACACGGACUGCCAAUAUGCUUUUGGAGUGGUUCCUGAUAUGGACAAUUAUGGAAGAAUCGGGGGUGCUCUAACCUCUUCAGGGACAGUGAUAUCUCACAAAAAUGGAUUUCUAAUUUGCUACAGGCCAUUCAGUUACCCGGUCAGCAUGCUGGUGCCAACGUUAGAGUCCAUACUAUAGGUUAAAACCCCAGAGACAUAGGAAAUCGCCUUGCCGACGAUGCGGCUAAGAAAGCUUUUAGGAGUCACCAGAUUGUUGGGCCCCACAUGAUGAGGCAGACUAAAAAUUAUACUAGGAAUAAGUCUCCCUCGGAAAAAGGAAUGCCAACCAUCCAAGAAGUACUUUAAAUACAGGAGGACGCUCCUGCAAAGGUAAAAUAGCUGUGGCAGGACCAGGGUUGUCUGUACGAUCCUGUCACUAGCUUAUGGGUUACGCCUGCCAGACAGACUUGCAGGUCUGACGAGCUUGCGUUGUGGGUUAUUGAAUUUGUACACUUUGCAACUCAUUGUGGGACCAAGGCUGUAAGUGAUAUGCUUUUAGAGACCUGGUGGCAUCUGAAACUUCUGACUUGUCCCGGCGUAUCAGCCAGCGAUGUCUGAUUUGCUAGCAGCAUAAUCCAGGUAAAGGCUUGCCCUGUGAACCAGAUUCCUUUACCAGCAGGUCCCUUUGAGACCUUUCAAAUGGACUACAUUGAGUUGGAAAGAUGUCAGUGUUAUAAGUAUGUUUUUGUAAUUAUUUGUGUUCUUAGUAAAUGAAUAAUUAGUGUAAACGCCUCUCAUGUGUGUGGUAGCAUUAUGUUUUUGAAUUAAUGCUGAAGUUAAGUCUUUUAUUUGUUGUAAAUCACAUGUUAUAAGUGUAGGUGUGUGUCGCUUUAAAAAAACUGUAAGCAGGAGGGUGAAGUUUUUUUACAGCUACCCUUGGCUGUGAGUUUAACCUCUCAAUUUAAAAGGGGAAAUAAGUUGAUUGCUGAAACACAACCAGCUUUAAUGGUUUGUUUAGAUAACCAUUCUGGUUGGAGAAGGGUAAUAAAUCAAUGGAGCCAGGGAAGAAGGCAACUGACUGAUAAUGGGUUAAUCAUGAGUUAAAUUGAUAUUUUGCUAAAUCACUGGAAUAUAACAUAUUUGAUCACUCCUCUUUGACAGAAAAAUUGAAAGUUUGUUGGGUUUAUUUAAUCCGUUGUAUUUUACCUGUUUUUAAGAUGCAAACAGUAUUAUGUGACAAUCCAGCUGAGAUUUCAAAGUGGAUUGAUUGGAUUGUUUGCUGAAAUUUUCAGAAACAGACAGUGUAUUGGAUAGUAUGGAGAACUAUAGAAGAUGGGCAUAAUAAGAAUACAGACCACUCCAUCUGGUACAGCAAGAAUAACGCCUGUGGAAAUCCUAUGUAUUAACUUUAACCUGUGCUUUGCGAACUACUUAUUUACAGGUCAGGGUUGCAUAUGGUGUGGCGCCAGCACUCAAAGUUCCAUCUAAUACUGAGCCAGGUUGCUAUGUGCUGAUCAGGAACUGGAUGCGUAAGCACUUGGACCCACGUUGGGAUGGUCCCUUCCAGGUCAUUCUCACCACUCCGACCGCUGCCAAGGUCGAGGGUCGUGCUGCAUGGGUUCACCUGCACCACUGCAAAUUGAUUGGGGAGCCCAAUCAAAAGGGGGGGAGAAGAGUAAUUUUAUUUUCAACUCAAGAGUUUUUAGUUUUUACAUUUCUGCUUUGUUUGGGAGUUGUAUCAUUAUAAGUUUAGUUGUAUUAUUAUAAGUUUAGUUGUAUUAUUAUAAGUUUAAUUUUGAAACCUUAUUUUGCCAUAUGGUUAAGAAUAUGCGACUGAUUACUGGACUGACUGACUGAAGGACGUUUAAAUUGAGUAAAUAGUUGUUUAAGCUAAUUAAGUAAGAAAUGAGUUUUUGUGAGCCUUUGCUUAUUCCAGAUAGAUUAAAAUGAGGCGAUUCAUCCUGCUCUGCAUCCUGAUGCUACAACAGAUGGAGGGAAAUUAAGGAAAAAUUUGACGAUAUGUCCUGGGACAAUUAAGCAGAAUCUUUCACCUCUGCAAAGGAGAUGUGGUACAGUGCAAUGGCCCGGAUGCCUUUGGAAUCUGAAAUGUCACCAAGAUUGACUAUUGCAAUGGGAUACUGCGUCAGCCUGAUCGACAGGUAGACUUAGAUAACCGACACCCUGUGGGAAUUACCCUAUUAGUUUCGAGGGUGCAAGUUUGACUUUUUCUGCAGACGGAAUCCCUUGGAAGAAAACUCGGCAAAGGGACAUUUGUAUGAUGGACUAUGCUAUCGAGAAGCAUUAGAGGUAUACCUUUGGUUACAGAAGAAAGGACAUGAGCAAAAGAGACAGUAAAAACGGGCAUUGGAAGAAAGAGACUCUAUCAUGUUUGGACGAGCCCAUAAUGAAUUAUUUGGUGAAGGGCAAGUUGUGUGUUACCCCGCUAUGACAUCUGUUGUUAACCUAUUUACAGUAUCUCCCGAGUGGGGAAGGAUUGAACGAUUAGUAAAAUGUCAAGAUGAGAAGCCAGUUCCGGUCAAAGCUGUCACAAUCUAUUAUGACGAGUCCUUAGCCCCACCAGCUAACUGUUUGCCACUACCUCGUGACAAUGAGCAUUCUUACCAGGGUUGUGAGGAUACACAAUGUACAAUUUUGGUCGCCUAACUAUAGGAAGGAUGUCAACAAAAUAGAGAGAGUACAGAGAAGUUUAGGGGUAACAUGCGAGGAAACUUCUUUACUCAGAGAGUGGUAGCUGUGUGGAAUGAGCUUCCAGUGGAAGUGGUGGAGGCAGGUUCGAUUUUAUCAUUUAAAAAUAAAUUGUAUAGCUAUAUGGACGGGAAAAGAAUGGAGGGUUAUGGUCUGAGUACAGGUAGAUGGGACUAGGGGAGAAUAAGUGUUCGGCACGGACUAGAAGGGACGAGAUGGCCUGUUUCUGUGCUGUAAUUGUUAUAUGGUUAUAGAAUUAGAUCAUUGGUAUGGCCAUAUGAGCAGCAAUAGUGGUUUUAUGUUUGUUCAUGGGAAUUGCUAUUGUUAGAUGUAUUAGUGCUAGACUAAUGACAGCCUUGGGUAAUGUGGAAACUGGUGAGAAGAUAUUAUUGCAACAUCUAGAAGAAGAAGAAAUUCCAAUGUUGAAGGAUGAGGAUGUUGAAAGGAUGGUAAAUGCGCAGGUUGAAAAAGAAUUGUUAGAAGAUAAAUGUAUUAGAAUGAAUAAAUUGGAGAUGGACUAGUGGUAUGAAGCCUAGAAUAGUUGAGAACCCUAAGGGCUAGGGUUUGAAGCAUAGCAGAGAAGUAGGGAACAGCAUUGGUGUCAACAAGCCAACCUGCCGACCUACGUGGUCCGGGUUUUGGGGGCUAUAAAGCAUCUGAGGUUAGGUAUAAACUUGGAUGACUAAUAAGCCAAUGCUGAUGAAUUUCUGUUGUGUUAUUAUCCUAUUAGUGGUCAUAAUAUGACCAGAAGAGGGAAUGAGGAAAUAUAUUUUAAAAUUGUUCAAAUGAUAAGUUCUUAAGGAUCUUGUGUUAAGUUGCAAGAGAAGGGUUUGGAGUUGGGGCUUUCAGAAAUACAUGCCUCCACAAAGAAAUAAAGAACAAAGAACACACACAGGAGAACAGAUGGCUUAUCAUAAACAUGGAAAGGGUGAUCUGGAUAGGCAUAUCUAUUCUUUAUUGCUUUGGAGCAAUAAUCAUGCUGUGAGAAGGUGUAGUUGGUUUAGGUUGGUGUUUAUAAUAGAGAUUGUUAAUGGGAUCUUUCUCCUUGACAUGGGCACCAUCCUUCUUCCUUUGUGACACAUCUCAGAGUUUGGCUGUGUCAUCUAAGGCGAUUUAUGAUUGUCUAUGUUGGAUUGUAGGCACCAAGGGUAGAUACUAGUCUGUGAGAUGGUUUGUGCUGUUUAGAUGUGUUUAUGUUGGGAUAAGAGAUCAGGCAUAGGUAAUGGUUAUGUGACCUUUGUAUAAGGAUAAUUUCUUAUGUGUAUAAAAAACUGAGAAAGUAACUCUGUUUUAAUCUAAGCCAAACGAUUGGGGUCUGCAUAUAGUAAUCUUCCAUUUGCUGUGUGGAAUGCUAUUCGUGGGGGGGUCGUAAAGAGACCUUACAUUCCUUUCCUCCACUGAUAGUAGGAGGUUGUAAUUCAGAAUGAAACUAGACCCGAGCUUGGAAGGAGGAAUUAUAAUUUAUCAAGUGUGACAAGUAUAUGGCCUUUGUGAGCUUGGAGGUGGGAAUUGUGUGAUUAGAACUUUGUCUUUACCACUUUGUAAGAAUGGGGUAAAACUCAUCUUUAAUCUUUGUAAUUCAUAAGUAACUGUAUUUUAACUAAGUGGUUGUAAGGAAAUUAAUUGUGAAGUGUAUUGUGUUUAAUUACGAUUGUGAGUAUUAGACUUUGUUUAAAUCGGAAGUUUUAGAAAUAACUUUCUUGUCCAAAAGUGAAAAUAUGUUUUGUAUGUAUGUGUUGUGUGAUUGCUAUAUUAUGUGUAUAUUCUGAGAAGUAUUCUGUGAGAAUUAGUUUUAUAUCUGUGGUUUUACUUUAAUGAAAUAAAGUGAUUUUGAGCAAAGAGGUUGAAGAAACCACAGAGGGGAUGAAGGUUGUAAAGGGGCUGGAAAAGGGAAAAUCAUGUGACUAUACGUGUUGUCAAUCAAUGGAAAGGAUUUAGUUGAUUGGUUAAUGCAAAUAAGUUAAAUGUAUGGUAAACCAUAAUGAUUGGUUAAUAGUUUGCCACUCCUUUUGUACUAUCCUUGUCUUUUACCUAUAUAAUGUGUUACAUUUAUGCCAAAGUUGUAGUUCUUUCAACCUGCCCCAGAGUUUCUAACUCUGUGUUGGAAGGUUUAAAGAAUUAUCCAGCGCUGUCAGAAUAAAGAAUCGAUUCCAGCAACAA